AUGGCCUCCACCGGCAUCCUACUGCUUCUCCUUGCGACGGCGGCCAUAGCAGGUCCACGCCACGCCGGCGCGACGGAGUACACCGUCGGCGACUCCGACGGGUGGACUAUCGGCCCCAACUACCUGGCCUGGUCGCAGAAGUACAACUUCACCACCGGCGACACGCUCGCGUUCAACUACGUGCCGCGGCAGCACGACGUGUACCGGGUGACGCGGGACGCGUUCCAGACGUGCGAGCCGACGGCGGGGCAGACGGUGCGCAAGUGGGCGUCGGGCCGAGACGUCGUCGACCUCGCCGCGACGGGGGACUACUACUUCAUUUGCAACAUCACCGGCCACUGCCUCGGCGGCAUGAAGUUCUCCGUCGCCGUGGGCGCGCCGCCUCCUCCUCCGCCGUCACCGCCUCCCCCGCCGGCCUUCACGACUGCCAUGCCGCCACCUCCAAGCUCCAGCGCGUGCGGAUGCCGCCUGGCGUUGCCGGACUUGGCGAGGAUUUCCUGCCUCGCUGCGAUCGGGAUGUGGAUCAGCUUGCUGUCAUGA
rnacentral:rRNA from 1 species